rnacentral:rRNA from 1 species
GGAGUUUGGACCGUGUCUCAGUUCCAAUGUGGGGGACCUUCCUCUCAGAACCCCUACUGAUCGUAGCCUUGGUGGGCCGUUACCCCGCCAACAAGCUAAUCAGACGCAUCCCCAUCCUUAACCGACAAAUUCUUUGGUCCGGGUCAGAUGCCCUCGCUGGACCACAUCGGGCAUUAAUCCGGUUUUCACCGGGCUAUUCCCAAGUUAAGGGAAGGUUGGAUACGCGUUACUCACCCGUGCGCCACUAAGAUAAAACAAGUUUUGACCGAAGUCUCGACAGCGUUUCAUCUCCGUUCGACUUGCAUGUGUUAGGCACGCCGCCAGCGUUCAUC